rnacentral:rRNA from 1 species
UGGCGGCAUGCCUAACACAUGCAAGUCGAACGGAGGUAGGGGCAACUCUACUUCAGUGGCGGACGGGUGAGGAAUGCGUCGGAAUCUACCCUAUGGUGGGGGAUAACACAGGGAAACUUGUGCUAAUACCGCAUGAUGUCGAGAGACCAAAGCAGGGGACCGCAAGGCCUUGCGCGAUAGGAUGAGCCGACGCCCGAUUAGCUAGUUGGUAGGGUAAUGGCCUACCAAGGCGACGAUCGGUAGCUGGUCUGAGAGGAUGAUCAGCCACACUGGGACUGAGACACGGCCCAGACUCCUACGGGAGGCAGCAGUGGGNAAUAUUGGACAAUGGGCGAAAGCCUGAUCCAGCAAUGCCGCGUGAAUGAUGAAGGCCUUAGGGUUGUAAAGCUC